GGUCGGUUAGCUCAGACAGUUGAGUGUGGCGCUAACAACGCCAAGAUCAUGGGUUCAAUUCCCGUUCAGUCCC
rnacentral:tRNA from 1 species